rnacentral:lncRNA from 1 species
GGCCGAUGCAAUCACCAAUAACCUCCUAAGUGACAUGGUGAGAAGGGUGAAGAGUGAUUUGAUCGCUGAGAUUAAACUUUGAAGAUCAACAUACAAAUUGAAGCAAAUUGAAUUGAAGAACUCUUCUUUUGGUCAAGGGGAAGUUUUCUCCAAAAAAUUUUAUGGAUCUCUCAAAAAUCCUCCUUCAUACAAUGUAUUGGAAGCCAUAAAUAGGAUAUGAUUCCAAACUCUAACUUGAGCAAACCUGCUACAAACUUAAUAUGAAACAUGCUAGAAUUAUUCAACUAAAAAUAUAGAAACCAAACUAAAAUCUGACACUAUCCAAUGCAAAAUUUAUUGAAAAAUCCGGUGAAAUAUUCACCCACAAUCUGCUGCUCCUGCAGAGCUUGGCAUGGUCCAACUCAUGGUUUUCGAAACCGUCUUGAACUGCCUGAUUCGGGGUGUUUCGAACUGAACCAAUGG